GGAUAUCGAAAAAGGCUUAUUUUGCUCAACGUCGAGUGAAGGAGGACUUUGAGAGGUAGAUCCGUUUCCCCCCGAAACACUUGGUUGAGUAGUGGAAAGUGAAUCCUUACUUUGAAAGUCGGAAGAAGUUGACUCUAAAAUUGGAGCUCCAUAUAUGUUUUUAGAAAUUUCCUCAUUGUUGGUGUCCGAAACUGGAAUAUUAUUAUAAGUAUCUGAAGGAGUUAACCGAAUGUUGCUAGUAGCUGAGUUUAAUAUUGGUAUCUCCAAACUUCCAGAAGGAAUACCGGAUACUUGAUCAAAGUUUGCAUCAUCUGACUUAUUCCCAUCCUUAUUUUCUAAUGUACGUUCAUCAACGUUGUUGAAUAAAGUGUCGUCUUGUGUUUGUAAAGCACUUAUCGAAGCAGCAGCCUGUUUGACAGGUGAGUUGUAGUCUGGUUCAUAUGGAGAUGAUACCUGGUCUUGAAGCUCGGAGUUUGUACUGGUUUCUAAAAUAUUCUGCACAGGAGUUUCCACUUGGAACGAAGAAUCUUUAGACGAGGAUGACAUUUAUUGAUUGACUUGAAAAGUAAAACCAAAAUAAAACAUCAAAUUUUUUUAAUUUAUUAUUAUUAACAGGGAAUAUGAAGGAGAAUUAAGAGGACAGAGUAACAAAAACAAAAUUAGCUUUAAAAGAUUAAAGUACUAAAUUU